rnacentral:rRNA from 1 species
UGGCAAGCGUUGUCCGGAUUUACUGGGUGUAAAGGGCGUGUAGCCGGGUCGGCAAGUCAGGUGUGUAAUCUAUGAGCUUAACUCAUAAACUGCACUUGAAACUGUUGAUCUUGAGUAUCGGAGAGGCAAUCGGAAUUCCUAGUGUAGCGGUGAAAUGCGUAGAUAUUAGGAGGAACACCAGUGGCGAAGGCGGAUUGCUGGACGACAACUGACGGUGAGGCGCGAAAGCGUGGGGAGCA